UGUAGCUUGCAGUUGUCUCCCAUGUUGCAAAUGUUUGUUCCUGCCUGUAACUCUGCCUGUUUGUUUCCCCCCAGCUUGUUCUUGUGGCUUUGGAUUUUCUGUAGGAUCACUUUGUUUCAUUUGGACUAUAAUUUUGGAUUCUCUGGACUCAGCCACUCUUAGUUUUGUUAAUUUAACCUUUGGACUAUAUCUGCCUGUUUCCGUGUCCUACGUUUGAGUCCCCAAACAUCUCUUCAUGACGUGUGAAAUUUCACACAUUGUUGUAGUUGGCUGUGCAGCAUAAACUGGGAUAUUCCUUUUUAUUAUGUCUUUGAUGUAGAGGGGGAGUGAUUAAGGUUGCUGUAUUUUUAUCAGGUUGUGUAGAAUACUAUCUAAUCACCAACCAGCAGCUGAAAACUGAACUAUGUGCUGUAUUGAACAGUCACAAAAAUCUUGUGCUGGCUUUAGCCCGAGGGAUGGAGGGGAAAUCAGGUUGAAGUGCCCAGAAGAUCUCAUGCAUUUUGAAGACCUACUCCCAGAAGCUGGGUAGAAAAGAAGCCAAGCAAAAGGCCUGGCAACAGUCUGGAGAAAGACAAGGCAGGUCCUCAUCUGGUGGUGAAGUUGUCUCUGCAGCCACCAAACCUGAGUGGGGGCUGCAGCAGUUGGUCGUCUGAGGACUCAUCUGAGGACGCCCUGGAAGUGGGGAGCACAGAUGCACAGCAGAACUUAGCAUCUCAGUCUACAGGUCAACUUUUCUUUCUUCCUUGCAGCUGUGGUCUGAACUGUCAUUUGACCUAGACUGGGACGUUGACAGCCUUCCAGAUAUUACCAGGCUUCUUCAGUAAGAGAGGCAGGAGAACGAAGAAUUUAUUUUAAUAAACAGAAUUUUCUGAAGCGUUACAUAUUAAGUGCUGAGUCACUGCACUAAACCAAACAUUUGGAUGUGCCAGAAGUUUACAUGUGAAUCUGUUCCUUUUAGCCCAGUUUUCAUUUUAUAUUGUUCCUCCUCUCCUUCCUUUGGGCUUGAGCCACCUGAAGACCUAACAGCACCAUGGUGGCACAGGUCCAAGGACUGCGAGGAGACUACCACAAUGCAAAAUGUCCAGAAGAUGGAAAAGGAAGUGAAGAGAUGGUGCUUCACAUUCAUGAAUUAUAACAACCUAAAGAACUUAAAUGAGAUCUGGCAAGGAGACCUGCAACUUUACAUUAAUCAACAAGGAGAACCACAUCUGAAAGGUUUUGUUAACCUCCAAACCACACAAAGCCUUUGUUGCACAAUGAAGAACUGGCUGACCUUGGACAUUAGAACUGCAGCAAGGACUGAAUACCUAUUAAUGUAUUUUUGAUCACAAAGGACAUCGUUCAGAAAUAUACUGAUGCCAAAAGACCCAAUAA